rnacentral:rRNA from 1 species
UACGGAGGGUCCAAGCGUUGUCCGGAUUUACUGGGCGUAAAGAGCGCGCAGGCGGUCGUUCAAGUCGCGUGUGAAAGCCCCCGGCUCAACUGGGGAGGGUCACGCGAUACUGAUCGACUCGAAGGCAGGAGAGGGUAGUGGAAUUCCCGGUGUAGUGGUGAAAUGCGUAGAUAUCGGGAGGAACACCAGUGGCGAAGGCGACUACCUGGCCUGUUCUUGACGCUGAGGCGCGAAAGCUAGGGUAGCAAACGGG